AAACCAGCACCUCAAGUGGUCAGGAUGAUUAUUGGGCCUAAAGCUUCCGUAGCCUGCUUUGUCAGUUUUCGGUUAAAUCUGUACGCUCAACGUACAGGCUGCCGGGAAUACUGCAGAUCUAGGGAGUGGGAGAGGUAGACGGUACUCAGGAGGAAGUGGUAAAAUGCUUUGAUCUCUCGAUGACCACCUGUGGCGAAGGCGGUCUACCAGAACACGUCCGACGGUGAGGGAUGAAAGCUGGGGGAGCAAACCGGAUUAGAAACCCCAGUAGUCC
rnacentral:rRNA from 1 species